UAAUCCCAGCACUUUGGGAGGCUGAGGCAGGCGGAUCACCUGAGGUCGGGAGUUUGAGACCAGCCUGACCAACAUGGAGAAACCCUGUCUCUACUAAAAAUACAAAAUUAGCCGGGUGUGGUGGCGCAUGCCUGUAAUCCCAGCUACUAGGGAGGCUGAGGCAGAAGAAUCGCUUGAACCUGGGAGGCGGAGGUUGCAGUGAGCUGAGAUUGCACCAUUGCACUCCAGCCUGGGCAACAAGAGCGAAACUCCGUCUCAAAAAAAAAAAAAAAAAGUUACUGUUUAAUUAUAAAAAAG
rnacentral:lncRNA from 1 species